rnacentral:tmRNA from 1 species
GGGGACGACAUGGCUUCGACGGAGGUCGCGAAACUCCAGGUGCAUGCCGAGGACGUCACUCAACCUCGUAAAUAAUGUGACAAAAAAGAUAGUUGCCAACGACGACAACUACGCACUCGCGGCCUAAAAACCCGUGAGCUGUCCACACUUGAUCGCCUGUGGUUGGGUGUCGGACAGGCAUAUUACACAGGCUAGCCCCGCGGGGAGCCCGGACUGGCGAGGCGAAACAUCAUUCGGGAUCGUGGUUUCCAUACCCUGGCCGUUGGGUAGGACGCCACUAAAAAUAAAGACGGCGCUAAGCAUGUAGACCCUGGUGUGGAGGUUCUUCGGACGCGGGUUCGAUUCCCGCCGUCUCCACCA